GCUUCGUCUCAGCAAAACAUCAGUCACACACCUGUCACACAUCUUCAUCUAGGCUACAAGACUGGACUGUCCAGAGACUUGUGAGUGGGAAACACAAGUCAGUAGAACCCCUGCAAGACAGAAGGAACUUGAAUUACUGGUGGAGAUUGCUGGGUUAUCAGUCAGUUGGAGCAAAGCUGGAAGGAAACCUUGGCUGUGGUGAAUAUACCUAUCAUAUCACAGUGGUGAUAAACAACCCAUGAGCUUUAUGCUACAAAGCUGUCCCCCCAGAGCAGAGUGCACAGGAUUCAAGAAUCCCUUUCACUUUGGAUAGGGAUUCCAGGUGGAUCUUUCUACAGCUGGAAACACAAGCCCCUCAAAUUGUGCACUGUCCUUGGUGGAGCCACAGUUUCUGAAGUGGGAAAAGGAGACACGGCCAGGUCCUUGCAGGGGAGGGAGAGGAGGCACCAAGGGUGAGCUCAAGGGUCCUGCAGUGGGUCUGAGGCUUUGCAAAUCCCCAAAUCCAGGCAAGCCUUAAGCCCCCAGAGCCCCCUGCAGCUACUUGUCCCAAGGUGUCCUUUGCAGAGCAUGGCCUGUCCUUCCUGUGCUGUGUGGGACCAGACAGUGAUCAGUGGGGCCAUGUGAAAGACACUGUGCAAAACCCCCACUUUUUAAAAGGUUUGUGUUCAUUCUGGCUUUUCUAGGAGUUUUUUCACAGCAGCAAUACCAAAUCUCCACAGGGACACAGCUAAAAUCACAACAAACUGCAUAAGGGCAGGGAAGAAUGGAAGGAAACUCUUGAAUGAGGUUUUUCUGCCGAAGAAAAUGUCCAUGUGAUGACAUCAUCUUGAUAUAGAAUCAGUGCAUGAGACUGCCAUGGAGAAGGCUGGGGAAGAUGUUUGGGCCUUAUUAAAGCUGCAUGGACAUAAAUAGAUAUGCUGGAGUACAGCUUGAGGUCUAUGAUUCAUCCCAAUAUUACCUGACUGGAAAAGCAGAUGUGAACACGGGGUUUGUCCAAACUCCCUUUCCAAGCACCGCUUCCAGCCUGCUGAGGAGGCACUUUUUUGUUUUGAAAGAGCUGAACCAAGCCCCAGUAUUGCAGAACUGAGGCU
rnacentral:lncRNA from 1 species